CAGGGGCGUAGCAUGGGCCUCACUAGUCUUUCUCUUACAUAACAUAACAUAACCUUCCAAUGUGCCAGGGGCGUAGAAUGGGCCUCACUGGUCUUUCUCUUACAUCGUACCAGGGGCGUAGAAUGGGCCUCACUGGUCUUACAUACCAUACCAUAUCAUAUCAUAUCAUGUCAUCAUACGAGGGCUAAUGGAUCAUUCAACACCCAUCCACAUCAACAUUAUAUUAUGCAAUGCAACAUAUUCGUGAAUUCUAGUGCAAACAACCUAAUAUAUCACAUGACAUUCGUGAUGCAUGAACA
rnacentral:lncRNA from 1 species